AUUUUUUCUUCUUCUUCUCUGUUUUUUUCUUCUUUGUUUU
rnacentral:sRNA from 1 species